rnacentral:rRNA from 1 species
CCUACGGGCGGCAGCAGUGAGGAAUAUUGGUCAAUGGGCGGAAGCCUGAACCAGCCAAGUCGCGUGAGGGAAUAAGGCCCUACGGGUCGUAAACCUCUUUUGCCGGGGAGCAAGGGCGGGGACGUGUCCCGGCCCGGAGAGUACCCGGAGAAAAAGCAUCGGCUAACUCCGUGCCAGCAGCCGCGGUCAUACGGAGGAUGCGAGCGUUAUCCGGAUUUAUUGGGUUUAAGGGGUGCGUAGGCGGGCUUUUAAGGAGGCGGGAAAAAUUCGGGGCUAAACCCCGGCCGGCCGUUGAAACUGGGAGGCUUGAGUAGGCGAGAAGAAGGCGGAAUGCGCGGUGUAGCGGUGAAAUGCAUAGAUAUCCCGACGAACCCCGAUUGCGAAGGCAGCCCUCCGGAGACCUACUGACGCUGAGGCACGAAAGGGUGGGGAUCGAACAGGAUUAGAUACCCUUGUAGUC